rnacentral:rRNA from 1 species
GAUGAACGCUGGCGGCGUGCCUAAUACAUGCAAGUCGAGCGAACAGACGAGGAGCUUGCUCCUCUGACGUUAGCGGCGGACGGGUGAGUAACACGUGGAUAACCUACCUAUAAGACUGGGAUAACUUCGGGAAACCGGAGCUAAUACCGGAUAAUAUAUUGAACCGCAUGGUUCAAUAGUGAAAGACGGUUUUGCUGUCACUUAUAGAUGGAUCCGCGCCGCAUUAGCUAGUUGGUAAGGUAACGGCUUACCAAGGCAACGAUGCGUAGCCGACCUGAGAGGGUGAUAGGCCACACUGGAACUGAGACACGGUCCAGACUCCUACGGGAGGCAGCAGUAGGGAAUCUUCCGCAAUGGGCGAAAGCCUGACGGAGCAACGCCGCGUGAGUGAUGAAGGUCUUCGGAUAGUAAAACUCUGUUAUUAGGGAAGAACAAAUGUGUAAGUAACUAUGCACGUCUUGACGGUACCUAAUCAGAAAGCCACGGCUAACUACGUG